UGGACAUAUGAUCUGCAUCUU
rnacentral:snRNA from 1 species